GUGCUCACUUUGACAGUGCAUAUUCUAAAAUAGAAACCAUACAGAGAAGAUUGGCAUGGCCCCAAUGAAAGGAUGACAUGGCCCGGUGUAACUUUCAUAUUUUU
ensembl:snRNA U6 U6 spliceosomal RNA